rnacentral:ncRNA from 2 species
AUGACAAUAAGGGGAGAGACUGUUUUUUACGGCGCCGAAGGAGCAAACAGAUUAUGUGAAUCUCUCAGGCAAAAAGACUCUUAUUUGGAC